CCUGCGGAAGGUCAUUACCGAGUGAGGGCCCUCUGGGUCCAACCUCCCACCCGUGUUUAUUUUACCUUGUUGCUUCGGCGGGCCCGCCUUAACUGGCCGCCGGGGGGCUCACGCCCCCGGGCCCGCGCCCGCCGAAGACACCCUCGAACUCUGUCUGAAGAUUGAAGUCUGAGUGAAAAUAUAAAUUAUUUAAAACUUUCAACAACGGAUCUCUUGGUUCCGGCAUCGAUGAAGAACGCAGCGAAAUGCGAUACGUAAUGUGAAUUGCAAAUUCAGUGAAUCAUCGAGUCUUUGAACGCACAUUGCGCCCCCUGGUAUUCCGGGGGGCAUGCCUGUCCGAGCGUCAUUGCUGCCCUCAAGCCCGGCUUGUGUGUUGGGCCCCGUCCUCCGAUCUCCGGGGGACGGGCCCGAAAGGCAGCGGCGGCACCGCGUCCGGUCCUCGAGCGUAUGGGGCUUUGUCACCCGCUCUGUAGGCCCGGCCGGCGCUUGCCGAUCAACCCAAAUUUUUAUCCAGGUUGACCUCGGAUCAGGUAGGGAUACCCGCUGAACUUAAGCAUAUCAAUAAGCGGAGGAAAAGAAACCAACAGGGAUUGCCCCAGUAACGGCGAGUGAAGCGGCAAGAGCUCAAAUUUGAAAGCUGGCUCCUUCGGGGUCCGCAUUGUAAUUUGCAGAGGAUGCUUCGGGAGCGGUCCCCAUCUAAGUGCCCUGGAACGGGACGUCAUAGAGGGUGAGAAUCCCGUAUGGGGAUGGGGUGUCCGCGCCCGUGUGAA
rnacentral:rRNA from 1 species